rnacentral:rRNA from 1 species
ACUCCUACGGAAGGCAGCAGUGGGGAAUCUUGCGCAAUGGGCGAAAGCCUGACGCAGCAACGCCGCGUGCGGGAUGACGGCCUUCGUGGUUGUAAACCGCUUUCAGCAGGGACGAAAAUGACGGUACCUGCAGAAGAAGCCCCGGCUAACUACGUGCCAGCAGCCGCGGUAAU